rnacentral:rRNA from 1 species
GACGAACGCUGGCGGCACGCUUAACACAUGCAAGUCGAACGGAAAGGCCUGCUUUCCCUUGUGGAUUGCGGGUACUCGAGUGGCGAACGGGUGAGUAACACGUGAGUGAUCUGCCCCCAACUUGGGUAUAAGCCUGGGAAACUGGGUCUAAUUCCCGAUAGGACUGCAGGGUGGUGCCUGUGGUGGAAAACGAUUUUCUAGUGGUUGGGGAUGAGCUCGCGGCCUAUCAGCUUGUUGGUGGGGUAAUGGCCUACCAAGGCGGCGACGGGUAGCCGGCCUGAGAGGGUGGACGGCCACAUUGGGACUGAGAUACGGCCCAGACUCCUACGGGAGGCAGCAGUGGGGAAUAUUGCACAAUGGGCGGAAGCCUGAUGCAGCGACGCCGCGUGGGGGAUGACGGCCUUCGGGUGGUAAACUCCUUUCGACCGCGAGGAAGCCACCUGGUUGGAAGGGUGGUGACGGUAGUGGUAGAAGAAGCACCGGCUAACUACGUG